CCUACGGGUGGCAGCAGUGAGGAAUAUUGGUCAAUGGGCGGGAGACUGAACCAGCCAAGUAGCGUGAAGGAGGAAGGUACAGAGGAUUGUAAACCUCUUUUAUAAGGGAAUAAAGUGUGGCACGCGUGCCCUUUUGUGUGUACCUUAUGAAUAAGGAUCGGCUAACUCCGUGCCAGCAGCCGCGGUAAUACGGAGGAUCCGAGCGUUAUCCGGAUUUAUUGGGUUUAAAGGGUGCGUAGGUGGGUUGUUAAGUCAGUUGUGAAAGCUCGGGGCUCAACCGCAGAAUUGCGGUUGAAACUGGCAGUCUUGAGUGGAGUAGAGGUAGGCGGAAUGCGUGGUGUAGCGGUGAAAUGCAUAGAUAUCACGAAGAACUCCGAUUGCGAAGGCAGCAUGCUAGAUUGCAACUGACGUUGAGGCACGAAAGUGUGGGUAUCAAACAGGAUUAGAUACCCGUGUAGUC
rnacentral:rRNA from 1 species